AUGUCAUUGAAACAAAUCUGUUUUGUCUCUGUUUUCUUUUCGGAUGAUGAGGAUGAUCCAGCCGAUCCUAACAUAAUUUUGGAGGAGCCGGACGACGAAGCCUCAAAAUCAGAUAAAGAUGUCUCCGACGCGACCGGACUUCCACUAGAUUUUUAUAGGGGUCAGGAGGGAAAAGAUAUGUUGUUUUCUAUCAGUCCCAAGCGGAUACUCCCCAGCUUCCACGGUCCGCUUACCGAGGAAGAGAUGCGGGAGGACCCAGGGCCAGAGCAAGUUGGGUUGGGGUAUAGAGCCGUAAGCGCUCGUACGGUUCAUAGUUGGGUAUGA
rnacentral:rRNA from 1 species